UGGGACGGAGGAGUAGCAACUUUCCGUUCAUUUUGGCAAUUUCAUGGCACUAUGUUUCUGCAGUAAUGGUUUUUCUGGAUUUUAAGAAGCUAUAGUAGA